rnacentral:rRNA from 1 species
CUGCUGCCUCCCGUAGGAGUUUGGUCCGUGUCUCAGUACCAAUGUGGGGGGUUGACCUCUCAGUCCCCCUAUGUAUCGUCGCCUUGGUGAGCCGUUACCUCACCAACUAGUUAAUACAACGCAUGUCCAUCUCUGACCACCUGAGUUUUCAACCACCGAAGAUGCCUCCGGUGAUGUUAUGGGGUAUUAGUACCAAUUUCUCGAUGUUAUCCCCCUGUCAAAGGUAGGUUACAUACGCGUUACGCACCCGUCCGCCGGUCGCCGGCA